rnacentral:rRNA from 1 species
CACGCCGUAAACGGUGGGCGCUAGGUGUGGGGAGCAUUCCACGUUCUCCGCGCCGCAGCUAACGCAUUAAGCGCCCCGCCUGGGGAGUACGGCCGCAAGGCUAAAACUCAAAGGAAUUGACGGGGGCCCGCACAAGCGGCGGAGCAUGCGGCUUAAUUCGAUGCAACGCGAAGAACCUUACCUAGGCUUGACAGUUGGGGAAAUCUGGCAGAGAUGUCAGGUCCGCAAGGGCCUCAAAACAGGUGG